AUUGAACGCUGGCGGCAUGCCUUACACAUGCAAGUCGAACGGCAGCACGGGUGCUUGCACCUGGUGGCGAGUGGCGAACGGGUGAGUAAUACAUCGGAGCAUGUCCUGUAGUGGGGGAUAGCCCGGCGAAAGCCGGAUUAAUACCGCAUACGAUCCACGGAUGAAAGCGGGGGACCUUCGGGCCUCGCGCUAUAGGGUUGGCCGAUGGCUGAUUAGCUAGUUGGUGGGGUAAAGGCCUACCAAGGCGACGAUCAGUAGCUGGUCUGAGAGGACGACCAGCCACACUGGGACUGAGACACGGCCCAGACUCCUACGGGAGGCAGCAGUGGGGAAUUUUGGACAAAGGGCGAAAGCCUGAUCCAGCAAUGCCGCGUGUGUGAAGAAGGCCUUCGGGUUGUAAAGCACUUUUGUCCGGAAAGAAAUCCUUGACUCUAAUACAGUCGGGGGAUGACGGUACCGGAAGAAUAAGCACCGGCUAACUACGUG
rnacentral:rRNA from 1 species